GCCGAACGCUGGCGGCGUGCUUAACACAUGCAAGUCGAACGAAGUGGCGGAUGGGCGAGUAACACGUGAGGAACCUGCCUUUCACAGGGAAAUAACACUGUGAAACCAGUGCUAAUCCCGCAUAGUGAAAGAUGGCCUCGCGCCUGCUUAGCUAGUAGGUGAGGUAACGGCUCAACUAGGUGAUGAUCAGUAGCCGGACUGAAGGUUGAUCGGCCGCAUUUGGACUGAGACACGGCCCAGACUCCUACGGGAGGCAGCAGUGGGGAAUAUUGGGCAAUGGCGCAAGACUGACCCAGCAACGCCGCGUGAAGGAAGACGGUCUUCGGAUUGUAAACUUCUUUAGACAGGGACGCGGUACCUGUAGAAUAAGCCACGGCUAACGACGUGCCAGCAGCCGCGGUAAUUC
rnacentral:rRNA from 1 species